rnacentral:lncRNA from 1 species
UCGAAAAGGUCUAGGUCCCAAAUCAUCAUCAGAAAGCCAAUGUAGAAGUAGCGGUGAAUGAUCAGAUGAAGUCUGAUUGAGAUGUAUCACAGUAAGUUGUUUACAAAAAUCUGCAGCUAUAGGGUUUAUCAAAACCUAUCCAAUCUCUUACUGUCCCUACCAUUCGUCCAAGUGAACUGAGACCCAGAAAAACCUGCAUCCUCUAAUCCAUAGUCCAACAUCAUAUCAGAGAAGGCACUAGAGCCUCGAUCUCGCCAACUAUGACUGGUAUGCUCGCCCUCAUGAGCAAUUACAUUAAAGUCUCC